rnacentral:rRNA from 1 species
AACAAACGCUGGCGGCGUGCCUAAUACAUGCAAGUCGAACGGGGAAAGCUUUCGGGUGAGUACUAGUGGCGCACGGGUGAGUAACGCGUGGAUAAUCUGCCUUGAAGAGGGGGAUAACCAGUCGAAAGAUUGGCUAAUACCGCAUAAGACCACAGGAACUGAGGUUCUAGAGGUCAAAGGUUUUUCGCUUCAAGAUGAGUCCGCGUAAGAUUAGCUAGUUGGUGAGGUAACGGCUCACCAAGGCGACGAUCUUUAACUGGUCUGAGAGGAUGAGCAGGCACACUGGAACUGAGACACGGUCCAGACUCCUACGGGAGGCAGCAGUAGGGAAUAUUGCACAAUGGAGGAAACUCUGAUGCAGCGACGCCGCGUGAGUGAUGAAGGCCUUCGGGUCGUAAAGCUCUGUCGCAGGGGAAUAACACAAUGAAGGUACCCUGUAAGAAAGGAUCGGCUAACUUCGUGCCAGCCGCCGCCGUAAGAC